GACUUUCCAUUACCAAAUUCUUAUGCAAUUAACUUGAUCAUAAUCCAAAGUUGCACAACAAUCACUUCAUCACCAGAGACCAGUUGCUAAUCUUACGGAAACCAUGUUAAGAAACAAAGCCUACCUCAUGUAAACAAUAGUAUGUAAUUUAUGCUUUUUAUAAAGAUCACAUAGCAAAUCAAUAGAAUUAAUAUAAUGUAUACACACAAAUAAAUCAAAGUAAUUAAUAUGCAUUUCAAAUAAACACAUGUAUUAACAGAAACGAAAACAUGAGUCAUAACCAUCAAUAGCUCAAACGACAUAGAACAUAAGACUAAGCUCCUCAAAUUUUGAUCUAUCCAAGUGCAGACUUUCUUCCUUCCACAAUUCCCUCUUACGAAUCACUUGCUCAAAAAAAUCUCAAUCCUCGAAAAUAUCUCAGAAACUUUUGCACCUGUAGCUAUAUAUUACACACCAAGGAAAACUUGAAAAUUGUAAAUCUCUCAACCCAGCCAAAUGAUUAAUGUCGAAUAUAAAGCAUGAAAAUGCAUUUCAACUUCACAUACUCCACCAGAAUCUAGAACCUCAAGCUAUCCUAAAUACGCCCAAGCCUACUCUUCCAACUUCCUACUAUUGACCAAAAAUAAAGCCUGCUUACCACAAAAUCUGGUAACAUGUUCCUAAGAGAACCUAAUUUAACUCCUAAUAAAGUUGCACCUGGCCUUCUAUAAAAGUUUCUCCAAACCUAUUAAAUGUCUCUUUAAGACAAUAAUUCUCCAUACCUAGUUUAGUACUCCAAGAGAUCUGCCGAAACUACUUCUCAAAGUAUGUGCAUUUUGAUCUAAUCAACGACAACAACAAUGACCUAGAACCUCCGAGAUUACAUUCCAUUACCAAAAUCUUAUGCAAUUAACUUGAUCAUAGUCCUAAGUUGCACAUCAAUCACUACAUCACUAGACACCAGCUGCAAAUCUUACAGAAACCAUCUUAAGAAACAAAGCCUAGUAAAGCCUAACACAUGUAAACAAUAGUAUGUAAUUUACGCUUUAUAUAAAGAUCACAAAGCAAAUCAAUCGAAUUAUUAUAUUGUAUACACACAAAUAAAUCCAUGUAACGAAUAUGCAUUUCAAAUAAACACAUGUAUUGACAUAAAGGAAACCAUCAGAUUCAUAACGAUCAAUAGUUCAAUCGACAUAGAACAUAUGACUUGAGCUCCGAAAAUCAUAACUUAAUCUACAAAACUCCUUUUUAAGAGAUUCAAAUUCAGGAAUGAUGUUUAACAUCUGUACUAUAACUUUUAUGCAGACAACAACUUCAAAUACACAACUGAAAUGCACCGAUUUUAGUAAAAAGGCUGCUGGGUCAAAAACUCAGAAAACUGAUUUGCAGAAUUUCUUACUGCAGACCCUAAUUGUAUUUUUAAUCCUGAUUUUGUUUCUCCUUUAGUCUCCUCCCUUCUCUCUCCUUUGUUUUCUUACUUCUUUCUAAAAGUUGUUAUAAGUUUGGGCUCGGGGUUUGGGUUCACUAACUAUUGGGUCAAGGUUAAUGUCAUGGGUUAAAAGUAGGGUUAAUCUCAAAAACUUAAGUACCUAUAGCUAUAUAUUACCUACUAACGUAAACAUGAAAAUUGUAAAUCUCUCAACUCAGCCAAAUCAAUAAUGUCGAACAUAAUGCAGGAAAAUGCAUUUUAUCCUAUCAUACUGCACCAGAUUCUAGAACCUAAACUCCUCAAUACGCCCAAGCAUACUCCUCAAACUUACUACUAUUGUUCCCAUGUAUUUACCAAAAUAAAGCCUAUUUACCACAAAAUCGGGUAACAUGUUCCUAGGAGAACCUAAUUUAACUCCUAAUAACCUUCCACUCCAAAACUAUUAAAUCUAUCUUCACAAUAACAAUUUUCCAUACCUAGUUUAGUACUCCAAGCGAUUUGCCGAAACUACCUCUCAAAGUAUAUACAUUUUGAUCUAAUCAACGACAACAACAAUGACCUAGAACCUCCGAGUCUACUUUCCAAGUACAGACUUUCUUCCUUCCACAAUUCCCUCCAAUGAAUCACUUGCCCAAAAUAAUCUCAAUCCUCGAAAAUAUCUCAAAAACCUCUGUACCUAUAGUUAUAUAUUACCUACCAAAGAAAACUUGAAAAUUGUAAUCCCAACCCAGUGAAAUGAUUAAUGUCGAACAUAAUGCACAAAAAUGCAUUUCAUCUUCUCAUACAGCCCCAGAUUCAAAAACGUCAAACUAUCCCCAAUAUGCCCAAGCCUACUCCUCAAACUUCCUACUACUGUUCCCAAGUAUUUACCAAAAAUAAAGCCUGCUUAACAAAAAAUCUGUUAACAUGUUCCUAGGAGAACCUAAUUUAACUCCCAAUACCUUUGCACCAGGCCUGUUAUAAAAGUUUCACCAAACCAAUUAAUUGUCUCUUCAAAACAACAAUUCUCCAUACAUAGUUUAGUACUCCAAGCGAUCUGCCGAAGCUACUUCUCAAAGUAUGUACAUUUUGAUCUAUUCAACGACAUCAACAAUGACCUAGAACCACCGAGUCUACUUUCCAUUACCAAAAUCUUAUGCAAUUAACUUGAUCAUACUCCUAAUUUGCACAUCAAUCACUUCAUCACCAGAGAACAAUGGUUAAUCUUACAGAAACUAUCUUAAGAAACAAAGCAUAGGAAAGCCAAACUCAUGUAAACAAUAGUAUGUAAUUUAUGCUUUAUACAAAGAUCACAUAGCAAAUCAAUCGAAUUAAUAGAUUGUAUACAUACAAAUAAAUCCAAGUAAUUAAUAUUCAUUUCAAAUAAACACAUGUAAUGACAGACAGGAAAUCAUGAGUCAUAACCAUCAAUAGUUCAAACGACAUAGAACAUAAGACUAAGCUCCUCAAAUUUUGAUCUAUCCAAGUACAGACUUUCUUCCUUCCACAAUUCCAUCUUAUGCUUUAAUAAAGAACACAUAGCAAAUCAAUCGAAUUAAUAUAUUCUAGACACAAAUAAAUCCAUGUAAUUAUUAUGCAUUUCAAAUAAACACAUGUAUUGACAGAAAGGAAAUCAUAAGAGUCAUAACGAUCAAUAGUUCAAUCGACACAGAACAUAAGACUUAAGCUCCGGAAAUUGUUAUCUAUCCAAAUAGAGACAUUCUUCCUUCCACAAUUCCCUCGUAUUAAUCACAAGCGCAAAAUAAUCUCCACCCUCGAAAUAUCUCAAAAACUUAUGUACCUAUAACUAUAGAUUACCAACCAAAGUAAACUUGACAAUUGUAAAUCACAAGACUCAGCCAAAUGAUUAAUGUCAAACAUAUCGCACGAAAAUGCAUUUCAUCUUCUCAUACUGCACCAGAUUCUAGAACCUCAAACCAUCCUCAAUACACACAAGUCUACUCCUCAAACAUCCUACUAAUGACCAAAAAUAAAGCCUGCUUCCAAAAAAAUCUGGUAACAUGUUCAUAGGAGAACCUAAUUUAACUCCUAAUAACCUUGCACCUCGCCUGCUAUAAAAGUUUUUCCAAACCUAUUAAAUGUCACUUUAAAAAAACAAUUCUCCAUACCGAGAUUAGUACUCCAAGCGAUCUGCCGAUACUACUUCUCAAAGUAUGUACAUUUUAAUGAUAAUCUUACAGAAACCAUCUUAAGAAACAAAGCCUAAUAAAGCCUAACUCAUGUAAACAAUAGUAUGUAAUUUAUGCUUUUUAUAAAGAACACAACAAAUCAAUCGAAUUAAUAUAUUGUAUACACACAAAUAAAUCCAUCUAAUUAAAAUGCUUUUCAAAUAAACACAAGUAUUGACAAAAAAGAAAUCAAAAGAUUCAUAACGAUCAAUAGUUCAAUCGAAAUAGAACAUAAGACUAAGCUCCUCAAAUUUUGAUGUAUCCAAGUACACUUUCUUCCUUCCGAUAUUCCCUCUUAUGAAUCACUUGUUCAAAAUAAUCUCAAUCCUCGAAAAUAUCUUAAAACCUUUUGUACCUGUAGCUAUAUAUUACACACCAAGGAAAACUUGAAAAUUGUAAAUCUCUCAACCCAGCCAAAUGAUUAAAGUCGAACAUAAUGCACGAAAAUGCAUUUCAUCUUCACAUACUGCACCAGAUUCUAGAACCUCAAGCUAUCCUAAAUACGCCCAAGCGUACUCUUCAAACUUCCUACUAUUGACCAAAAAUAAAGCCUGCUUACCACUAAAUCUGGUAACAUGUUCCUAGGAGAACCUAAUUUAACUCCUAAUAACGUUGCACCUGGCAUGCUAUACUAUUAAAUGUCUCUUUAAAACAAUAAUUCUCCAUACCAAGUUUAGUACUCCGAGCGAUCUGCCGAAACUACUUCUCAAAAUAUGUACAUUUUGAUCUAAUCAACGACAACAACAAUGACCUAGAACCUCCGAGUCUACUUUCCAAGUACAGACUUUCUUCCUUCCACAAUUCCCUCCAAUGAAUCACUUGCCCAAAAUAAUCUCAAUCCUCGAAAAUAUCUCAAAAACCUCUGUACCUAGAGUUUUAUAUUACCUACCAAAGAAAACCUGAAAAUUGUAAUCCCAACCCAGUGAAAUGAUUAAUGUCAAACAUAAUGCACAAAAAUGCAUUUCAUCUUCUUAUUCUGCACCAGAUUCUAAAACGUCAAACUAUCCUCAAUAUGCCCAAGCCUACUCCUCAAACUUCCGACUAUUGUUCCCAAGUAUUUACCAAAAAUAAAGCCUGCUGAAUAAGAAUUGCAAAUCUUACAGAACCUAGCGUAAGAAACAAAGCCUAGGAAACCCAAAAUCAGGUAAACAAUAGUAUGCAAUUUAUGCUUUAAUAAAGAACACAGCAAAUCAAUCGACUUAAUAUAUUCUAGACACAAAUAAAUCCAUGUAAUUAUUAUGCAUUUCAAAUAAACACAUGUAUUGACAGAAAGGAAAUCAU
rnacentral:lncRNA from 1 species